rnacentral:rRNA from 1 species
AAAGUCGUAACAAGGUUUCCGUAGGUGAACCUGCGGAAGAAACAUUG